GCCCGCGUGGUGGAACGGUAGACACAGGGGACUUAAAAUCCCCAGCCCUCGGGCGUGCGGGUUCGAAUCCCGCCGCGGGUACCA
rnacentral:tRNA from 1 species